GUAAUUGAUUUGUUAAUAAAUAAAAUAUAUUUGGCAUCUUCAUCAUAAGCUUUCAUCUUCUAAUGAACUCCGUUGUUAUGAUGAAGUCCUUAGGACUAUUUAAGUUCGAUAAAGAGAAGAUUUAUCGAUUAGUCCUUAAAACUGUUCAUGAUCAAAUGAUAAGCUGUUAAUAAGGACGACAGCUUCUAUCGAGCAUAGGUCGC
rnacentral:lncRNA from 1 species